rnacentral:rRNA from 1 species
UACGGAGGGUGCGAGCGUUGUCCGGAAUCAUUGGGCGUAAAGGGCGCGUAGGUGGCCUGCUAAGCGUGCGGUGAAAGCUCGGGGCUCAACCCCGAGUCGGCCGUGCGAACUGGUGGGCUUGAGCACUGUAGAGGCAGGCGGAAUCCGGGUGUAGCGGUGGAAUGCGUAGAGAUCCGGAAGAACACCGGUGGCGAAGGCGGC